rnacentral:rRNA from 1 species
GGGUUGUGAGGUUAAGCGACUAAGCGUACACGGUGGAUGCCCUGGCAGUCAGAGGCGAUGAAGGACGUGCUAAUCUGCGAUAAGCGUCGGUGAGGUGAUAUGAACCGUUAUAACCGGCGAUUUCCGAAUGGGGAAACCCAGUGUGUUUCGACACACUAUCAUUAACUGAAUCCAUAGGUUAAUGAGGCGAACCGGGGGAACUGAAACAUCUAAGUACCCCGAGGAAAAGAAAUCAACCGAGAUUCCCCCAGUAGCGGCGAGCGAACGGGGAGGAGCCCAGAGCCUGAAUCAGUGUGUGUGUUAGUGGAAGCGUCUGGAAAGGCGUGCGAUACAGGGUGACAGCCCCGUACACAAAAAUGCACAUAUUGUGAGCUCGAUGAGUAGGGCGGGACACGUGGUAUCCUGUCUGAAUAUGGGGGGACCAUCCUCCAAGGCUAAAUACUCCUGACUGACCGAUAGUGAACCAGUACCGUGAGGGAAAGGCGAAAAGAACCCCGGCGAGGGGAGUGAAAAAGAACCUGAAACCGUGUACGUACAAGCAGUGGGAGCCUCUUAAUGGGGUGACUGCGUACCUUUUGUAUAAUGGGUCAGCGACUUAUAUUCUGUAGCAAGGUUAACCGAAUAGGGGAGCCGAAGGGAAACCGAGUCUUAACUGGGCGUUAAGUUGCAGGGUAUAGACCCGAAACCCGGUGAUCUAGCCAUGGGCAGGUUGAAGGUUGGGUAACACUAACUGGAGGACCGAACCGACUAAUGUUGAAAAAUUAGCGGAUGACUUGUGGCUGGGGGUGAAAGGCCAAUCAAACCGGGAGAUAGCUGGUUCUCCCCGAAAGCUAUUUAGGUAGCGCCUCGUGAAUUCAUCUCCGGGGGUAGAGCACUGUUUCGGCAAGGGGGUCAUCCCGACUUACCAACCCGAUGCAAACUGCGAAUACCGGAGAAUGUUAUCACGGGAGACACACGGCGGGUGCUAACGUCCGUCGUGAAGAGGGAAACAACCCAGACCGCCAGCUAAGGUCCCAAAGUCAUGGUUAAGUGGGAAACGAUGUGGGAAGGCCCAGACAGCCAGGAUGUUGGCUUAGAAGCAGCCAUCAUUUAAAGAAAGCGUAAUAGCUCACUGGUCGAGUCGGCCUGCGCGGAAGAUGUAACGGGGCUAAACCAUGCACCGAAGCUGCGGCAGCGACACUAUGUGUUGUUGGGUAGGGGAGCGUUCUGUAAGCCUGUGAAGGUGGCCUGUGAGGGUUGCUGGAGGUAUCAGAAGUGCGAAUGCUGACAUAAGUAACGAUAAAGCGGGUGAAAAGCCCGCUCGCCGGAAGACCAAGGGUUCCUGUCCAACGUUAAUCGGGGCAGGGUGAGUCGACCCCUAAGGCGAGGCCGAAAGGCGUAGUCGAUGGGAAACAGGUUAAUAUUCCUGUACUUGGUGUUACUGCGAAGGGGGGACGGAGAAGGCUAUGUUGGCCGGGCGACGGUUGUCCCGGUUUAAGCGUGUAGGCUG